AGUGAACGCUGGCGGUAGGCCUAACACAUGCAAGUCGAACGGCAGCACAGUAAGAUCGUGCUCUUACGGGUGGCGAGUGGCGGACGGGUGAGGAAUACAUCGGAAUCUACUUUUUCGUGGGGGAUAACGGAGGGAAACUUACGCUAAUACCGCAUACGACCUACGGGUGAAAGCAGGGGAUAUUCGGACCUUGCGCGAUUGAAUUAGCCGAUGUCGGAUUAGCUAGUUGGCGGGGUAAAGGCCCACCAAGGCGACGAUCCGUAGCUGGUCUGAGAGGAUGAUCAGCCACACUGGAACUGAGACACGGUCCAGACUCCUACGGGAGGCAGCAGUGGGGAAUAUUGGACAAUGGGCGAAAGCCUGAUCCAGCCAUACCGCGUGGGUGAAGAAGGCCUUCGGGUUGUAAAGCCCUUUUGUUGGGAAAGAAAAGCAGCAGGUUAAUACCCCGCUGUUCUGACGGUACCCAAAGAAUAAGCACCGGCUAACUUCGUG
rnacentral:rRNA from 1 species